rnacentral:rRNA from 1 species
GACAGAGGGUGCAAACGUUGUUCGGAAUUACUGGGCGUAAAGCGAGUGUAGGCGGUCUGCUAAGUCGGGUGUGAAAGCCCACCUCUUAAAGGUGGAAUUGCAUUCGAAACUACAGGGCUGGAGUGUCGGAGAGGAUGGCGGAAGUUCCUGGUGUAGAGGUGAAAUUCGUAGAUAUCAGGAGGAACACCGGUGGCGAAGGCGGCCAUCUGGACGA